UACAGAGGGUGCGAGCGUUGUUCGGAAUUACUGGGCGUAAAGCGCGCGCAGGCGGCUCUUUAAGUCUCGUGGUCAAAUGCCGGGGCUCAACCCCGAGCGUGCCGGGGAUACUGGAGGGCUGGAGACAGGUAGAGGCAAGCGGAAUUCCGGGUGUAGCGGUGGAAUGCAUAGAGAUCCGGAAGAACACCGGAGGCGAAGGCGGCUUGCUGGACCUGGUCUGACGCUGAGGCGCGAAAGCGUGGGGAGCGAACAGG
rnacentral:rRNA from 1 species